rnacentral:rRNA from 1 species
UACGAAGGGGGCUAGCGUUGCUCGGAAUUACUGGGCGUAAAGCGCACGUAGGCGGCUUCUUAAGUCGGUGGUGAAAUCCUGGAGCUCAACUCCAGAACUGCCUUCGAUACUGGGAAGCUCGAGUCCGGGAGAGGUGAGUGGAACUGCGAGUGUAGAGGUGAAAUUCGUAGAUAUUCGGAAGAACACCAGUGGCGAAGGCGGCUCACUGGCUCGGUACUGACGCUGAGGUGCGAAAGCGUGGGGAGCAAACAGG